rnacentral:tRNA from 1 species
GGAGAUGUCGCCUAGCUUGGUCGAGGGCGCACGACUGGAAAUCGUGUAGGGGUCAAAAGCUCCUCGAGAGUUCGAAUCUCUCCAUCUCCGCCA